rnacentral:rRNA from 1 species
GUGCCAGCCGCCGCGGUAAUACCGGCAGUCCGAGUGAUGGCCGAUCUUAUUGGGCCUAAAGCGUCCGUAGCUGGCUGGACAAGUCCGUUGGGAAAUCUGCUCGCUCAACGAGCAGGCGUCCAGCGGAAACUGUUCGGCUUGGGACCGGAAGACCUGAGGGGUACGUCCGGGGUAGGAGUGAAAUCCUGUAAUCCUGGACGGACCGCCGGUGGCGAAAGCGCCUCAGGAGAACGGAUCCGACAGUGAGGGACGAAAGCCAAGGUCUCGAACCGGAUUAGAUACCCGCGUAGUCC